UACAGAGGGUGCAAGCGUUGUUCGGAAUCAUUGGGCGUAAAGCGCACGUAGGCGGCUUUGCAAGUCAGGUGUGAAAGCCUGGGGCUCAACCCCAGAAGUGCAUUUGAAACUGCAGAGCUUGAGUCUUGGAGAGGGCAGUGGAAUUCCGAGUGUAGAGGUGAAAUUCGUAGAUAUUGGGAAGAACACCGGUGGCGAAGGCGGCGACCUGGUCCGAUACUGACGCUGAGGCGCGAAAGCGUGGGGAGCAAACAGG
rnacentral:rRNA from 1 species